rnacentral:lncRNA from 1 species
UUCUUUUCUCCAUAUCGCUCUAUCAUUCUAUAUACUCUAUAUUUUUUGGUUUAGUAAUUCACCUCUAUAAAACUCUAAAGCUCUGCCCUGUUUUAAGUAUUGUAACCCCUUAUCACUGAUACCCUGUCCGACUGACGUAGGGCCCUGUAACGUAUGUCAAGGCUCUGCCUAAAUUCGUUGGGGUUCUGUCUCGUGACGUAGGGAUAAAGUGGAAUUGGGUUACUAUACUUAAUGUGAGUGCACUAUAUAUUUUAUUAAAUAACCCAGGAGCUAUACCGAAAAUAUAACAACCCUCCUAAAACACCCCUGACACCCUACACUUCCUAAAAUAUACCCGUAUGCGAUAAACGAGCCCGAAUACCUUGUAUAUUAAUAAAAAUAGAAUAAAACAAGUUUUGGUAUACACUCGCGGGCCGCAACAGAAAGGAGGCCAGACCGCACCAGAGCACGCCACGUGUCCGAUGCGUGUGGGGUCUAGGGCUGACUCAGCAAGCCUAUAGCGGGACACGUAGUCCCUGGCGGGCCGCGUAGACCCAAGCCAAACCUUACGCGGGCCGCGUAGAAUUCGAUUUCAGGCCCUAUAAAGUGGGAGCUCGGGCUUCAGUCUCAAUUCGCUCACAUCUUUCUCUCUCACUCAAAUUUCUGAAUAGUAGAAGUGAUACUCGGGUAUAAUAUCCCCCUAAAUAGCGAAUUUCUGCCUCGUUGUAAGUAUCAUAACCCCUGGAUAUGUAUUAGGUACUCUGCCCGAUUGAUCUAGGGUUCCGUAACGGCUGUCGUGGUUCUGCCCGACGUAGUCGUUGGAAUGCCGUCUCGGGGAGGGUAUUACUAAUGUUAAAAUGGGUUAUUAUACUAACAUGUGUGCAUUGUUUAUUUAAUUAGAUUAUAACCAGGGAGUCACCAAGGAAAGCCCUAUAAUAUCAAUGUAUGACAGUAACUUAGUGUGAAGCCAAUAAAAGCCAUCUAGAGAGCACUGAAGGCUUGAAAAAGUGGCAAUAAAGUUACCUAAAAUAAAAUAGAUGUUUUUAUUAAACAAAAUUGGAUUUAUUCCUAUGAAAUUGUGUGUACUACAAACUUGGGUUUUACCCAUAUGUUUAAUGUUAUAAAAUGUGGUGGUCUACUCU